rnacentral:rRNA from 1 species
UACGUAGGGUGCGAGCGUUAAUCGGAAUUACUGGGCGUAAAGGGUGCGCAGGCGGCUCCGCAUGUCGGGCGUGAAAUCCCCGGGCUUAACCUGGGAAUUGCGUCCGAAACUAUGGAGCUGGAGUGUGGCAGAGGGAGGUGGAAUUCCACGUGUAGCGGUGAAAUGCGUAGAGAUCGGGAGGAACACCAGAGGCGAAGGCGGCGACCUGGACAAGUACUGACACUCAACUACGAAAGCGUGGGAGCAAACGGG